GCGACCCCAGGAYGGGCGGGAUGACCCGCUGAAUUUAAG
rnacentral:rRNA from 1 species